UGGCCGGGGCGGGAACGGGGAGGCGGUGCGUGAGGGGGCAACGGUGGAGCUGUGCCUGAGGCCGGGAUUGCGGAGCUUCCCUGAGGCGGGAAGAGUGGGGGCUUUGGCCGAGGCGGGAAUGGCGGGCCGGUGCCUAAAGCGGGGAUUGCAGGGCUUUGGAUGAGGCGGGGAUUGCGGGGCGUUCCUGAGGCGGGAAUGGGGGGGAAGCUUUGGCUGGGAGGAGCGGGCCGGUGGAGCGGGCCGGUGCUUGAGGCGGGGAUUGCGGGGUUUUCCUGAGGCGGGAAUGGCGGGGCUGUGCCUGAGGCGGGGACUGCGGGGUUUUCCUGAGGCGGGAAUGGCGGGGCUGUGCCUGAGGCGGGGACUGCGGGGUUUUCCUGAGGCGGGAAUGACGGGGCUCUGCCUGAGGCGGGGAUAGCGGGCUUUCCUGAGGCGGGAAUGCCGGGGCUCUGCCUGAGGCGGGGAUAGCGGGCUUUCCUGACGCGGGAAUGCCGGGGCUCUGCCUGAGGCGGGGAUAGCGGGCUUUCCUGACGCGGGAAUGGUGGAGCCUUGCCUGAGGCGGGAGGGCCGGGGCGGUGCCUGAGGCGGGAGGGGCGGGGCCGCCGCGCGUGACCCUGGGGGCGCGGCCGUGGUACGUGCGCUCCGUUCCCAUUGGCCCCGCACCCGGAAGAGCCGCUGGCGCCUGCGCGGUGGGGCCGCCGCCCUGCAUCCCCCUUCCGCCGAGGAGAUGGAGGCGGCGGCGCGGCGGCGGCCGCGGGAGCCGGAACGGCGGGAGCGGGACGAUGGUGGGCGGGUGAUGUCCCCAUCCCUAUCGGGACAGUCCUACUGGCUGGACCUGUGGCUCUUCAUCCUCUUCGACCUGGCGCUUUUCCUGCUUAUCUACCUGCUGCCCUGAAGGCGCGGCCCAGGGCCAUCGCCACCGAGGGAAUUCUCACCUAUUUCGCACCUUACGAACACCGGCGGUGGAGAGGAGGACAAUUUGUGCGGGAUAACCAACAGGGAACACGGCUCCACUUGAGUGUGGGUGGAGGAGGCACAUUUCUGUACUGUGCUAUACCGUGAUGGAGCUCUGUGUGUCACAAGUGUCACUGUUGGGUUUGGCCUGUGUCCUGAGCCGUGCCUUGGAGAUCCCGUACGACAGACUGACUGUGCUUUGUGAUUAGUGCCUAAAGGUUUGUUGGGCAGACAUGGAAGUGUGCACUGUGUGAAUAAAAUCCACUGAAAGAACACCCUGCAGAGUGGCUGAGAAUAAAACCCAGCUCUUCUGUACACUGAAGUUGUAGCUCAGACCUGUGCCCUCAACAGAUGAAGCUUGGCCAGCUGUUCUGCUUCCAAAAAGUUAAUCCUGAUGGGUUGAUGCUGGUUGGUUUUCUAUAAUACAUCUCUCUGUUUUUUCUUUCUUUACUUUCAGCAGUUACUGGGCCCUCUGAGGCUCAGUAUUUAUAGAUAUAAAUAUACACAUAUAUAAACAUGUCAGUGUUUAACCCA